GGGUUGUGAGGUUAAGCGACUAAGCGUACACGGUGGAUGCCCUGGCAGUCAGAGGCGAUGAAGGGCGUGCUAAUCUGCGAUAAGCGCCGGUAAGGUGAUAUGAACCGUUAUAACCGGCGAUACCCGAAUGGGGAAACCCAGUGUGACUCGUCACACUAUCAUUAACUGAAUCCAUAGGUUAAUGAGGCGAACCGGGGGAACUGAAACAUCUAAGUACCCCGAGGAAAAGAAAUCAACCGAGAUUCCCCCAGUAGCGGCGAGCGAACGGGGAGGAGCCCAGAGCCUGAAUCAGCAUGUGUGUUAGUGGAAGCGUCUGGAAAGGCGCGCGAUACAGGGUGACAGCCCCGUACACAAAAGCGCAUGUGCUGUGAGCUCGAUGAGUAGGGCGGGACACGUGGUAUCCUGUCUGAAUAUGGGGGGACCAUCCUCCAAGGCUAAAUACUCCUGACUGACCGAUAGUGAACCAGUACCGUGAGGGAAAGGCGAAAAGAACCCCGGCGAGGGGAGUGAAAAAGAACCUGAAACCGUGUACGUACAAGCAGUGGGAGCCCCACCACCAAAGCAUUUGCUGUACCGCGUUGACGGAGCGAAGCGACGUCAAACCGAUAAAACAGCAGUGUAAAGUGAGCCGCAGGGCGCUUUGCGCGACAGCGCAAAGGCAGGCGGUUUCGCGUAGCGAAAGCGAAUGCUUUGGGGUGGGGUGACUACGUACCUUUUGUAUAAUGGGUCAGCGACUUAUAUUCUGUAGCAAGGUUAACCGAAUAGGGGAGCCGGAGGGAAACCGAGUCUUAAUUGGGCGUUAAGUUGCAGGGUAUAGACCCGAAACCCGGUGAU
rnacentral:rRNA from 1 species